UACAGAGGUCUCAAGCGUUGCUCGGAUUCGAUUGGGCGUAAAGGGUGCGUAGACGGCGCGGUAAGUCGGGGUGUGAAAUUUCGAGGCUUAACUUCGAAACUGCAUUCGAUACUGCCGUGCUUGAGGACUGGAGAGGAGACUGGAAUUUACGGUGUAGCGGUGAAAUGCGUAGAUAUCGUCUGGAACGCCGAAGGUGAAAACAGCUCGCUGGGGCUGCGCUGACGCUGAGACACGAAAGCCAGGGGGAGCGAACGGG
rnacentral:rRNA from 1 species